CUUUCCCCCCCCCCCCCCCCCCCGCAGUCCGAGAGUGAAGGAAAAGGCUUUGGCUCCUUGUGACAAAUCAGCAGCCCUGCGAUGUAGGUCGUAUGCCGAUCCCCUUGUUACAGAAGAGGAAACUGAGGCUCAGAGAGGGUCAGAGACCCUAUAACUGGCGAUGGGCAGAACAAGAUGCCAAGCCACGCCUGCUUGAUUCCCAAGUUUAUCCUUUAAUCAAUUCGUCUAGAAGAUCCUGACAACAAUCCCGGGAGGAGGAAGCUGAAGCACAAGGGGUGUAAGUAAUCUGUUGCACAACUCACACGGCUGGAAGGAGCGGACUCUGACCUUCUUUCCUGUCUGCGCUCUGGGGACCACGGCGUGGCCAGUCUUGCGGUCUGGAGCGCCCCCU